ensembl:lncRNA
GGCAAACGAUGCUCAUAUAGGCUAUAUCAGGUGUCUCAUUUAGGUAGAUUUAGGACCACCCGUUACAAAUAAUAGAACUGAAUAUUCUGUUAUAACAGCAUUUUCAAUUAGACAUGACUACUAUAAAAACUAACACACACAAAAAUAUACAUUUUGUCUUCAUCAAUACUCAUCUCAAAUCCCAAUAUUCCUAAUAAAUGAGACAAUUCUUGCACAAUAAAGCCAUUAUCUAAUGCUCUCCUAUCCAGCAAGGAACCUGUGAAUUGUAUUAGUUGUGAGAACAGACAUUUUCUAUUUUUACAAUAGAAAAGACAAUGAAAACAUUACCACAUUCAGAUCCAUGAGGAAUAAUCAAGCAGUCCUCCAGAAACCCAUAUAAAUAAUUGGGAAAACAAGUGAUGCUAGUGAAUACAUGGUAGUGGAUGUACCACCGCCUGUAGUAAAUGUUUGCUGCCAGUCAAAAGAUACCCUGUGUUAAAAAGGUGGAUUUUGUGGUGCUCAUUGCCAGUUAUAAACUGUGGCUCAACUCUCAAAGAAGUCUAAGAAACUGGACAUUAUUGUGGCUUGCAGCAGAAACGUUUUUGGGACUUAAGGAUUUUAUACUGAACAAAAAAUAUAAACGCAACAUGCAACAAUUGCAAAGAUUUCACUGAGUUACAGUACAUAGAAGGAAAUCAGUCAAUUGAAAUAAAUUCAUUAGGCCCUAAUCUAUGGAUUUCACAUGACCCGGCAGGGGCACAGCCAAUUGGGAGCCAGGCCCACCGCCAAUUGGGAGCCAGGCCCACCCACUGGAGAGCCAGGCCCAGCCAAUCAGAAUGAGUUUUCCCCCACAAAAGGGCUUUAUUACAGACAGAAAUUACAACACCCCCCCUUUCUCAGACAAUCCCCCGGCAAGAAGCCAGAUGUGGAGGUCCUGGUCUGGCAUUGUUAAACGUGGUCUAUGGUUGAGGCCGGUUGGAUGUACUGACAAAUUCUCUAAAACAACGUCGGAGGUGGCUUAUGGUAGAGAAAUUAACAGUAAAUUCUCUGGCAACAGCUCUGUUUGGACAUUCCUGCCGUGUCAGCAUGCCAAUUGCACACUCCCUCAAAACUUGAGACAUCUGUGGCAUUGUGUUGUGUGACAAAACUGCGCAUUUUAGAGUGGCCUUUUAUUGUUCCCAGCACAAAGUGCACCAGUUUAAUGAGCAUGCUGUUUAAUCAGCUUCUUGAUAUGCCACACCUGUCAGGUGGAUUGAUUAUCUUUGCAAAGGAGAAAUGCUCACUAACAGAGACUUGAAACACAUUUGCACACAAAAUUUGAGAGCAAUAAGCUUUUUGUGUCUAUGAAACAUUUCAGGAAUCUUUUAUUUCAGCUCAUGAAACAUGGGACCAACACUUUAGAUGUUGCGUUUAUAUUUUUGUUUAGUUUACACAUCUGAAGCACUUGGAAGGGGUAUUGGUGCCGGAAGACAGCCCGCCCUCCCAGGCUCCCCCUGAGCAUGUGUAGGGAUCAGAUUAGUUUAUUUUUUUAACAGUGAAGUUGUUUGUUAGUUUUUGUUGGUAGUUCCAUUUUUUGGGGGAAACUCCGUUUCCAUCCCACACAGUAGGUGGCGGGAUGCACAUUAAAUUGUGCAAUCGCCAAUAUACUGAAGACGAACCCACUGAAAUGUGACCAGUCACUCGAGAGGGAUGAACACUCACUCUUGCUCACACUUAGCAUUUUGAUGAGUGUAUACAGUCACACUCUAGUUGGGAGCAAGGUAUAUACCCUCCCCAUGUCUAGUCUCUCUCAGCCCCAACUCUGUGCACAGGCUCUUUCAACAUCAGCAAUGGUUUUGGGUGUGUCAGAGGACAGGAUCAAGGGGUUUAUCUCGUCUUGAAUCACAACGUCGUCCUCUAUUCUCACCCCAAGUCCACGGAAUCGAUCUGGAACCUGGUCAUCGUCCUCACAUAUGUACAGCCC